CCUGCUGGAGCCUUUGCAGCCCGCGUCCGGGUGGGCCUAGAUCGACUCGAAACAAUUCUAGGGUGCAAGUCCGGCCGUUCCUCGGCGAACGGUGCCGCGCAACACGAUCCAAUUGCGGGAACCUCCUAAAGUCGGCUCGGGGGCCUUCGAACUAGCGAUGGUUCGAAGGUCGAACGGGGCCGGAUAGUUCGCGGCGGUACGGCCUCGAGAGCAUGGACAACCCGCAGCGGGCCCCCUCCAGCAGGGGGCCCCGUCCACAGGCUAAGUGAUCGUGGGUCCAGUCGCUCGGCGGCUGGGUCUUAGAUAUAGUCGGGCCCCUCCGGAAACGGAGGGGACGAACUGUUCCGUAGGUGAACCUGCGGAAGGAUCAUUACUGAGCGAGGGUCCCACGCGGGCCCGACCUCCCACCCCUUGUGUUUCCAACCUUUGUUGCUUUGGCAGGUUGCCCCCGUGGCCACCGGAACGAAAGAUCGUUCGGGCGUAAGCGGACGGUCGCCUCGCGGCUCGGCCCGCCUGCCAGAGACCUUCUAAUCUGCGAAUAAACCGAGUCGUCUGAGUAUAAUCGUAAAUAUUGUAAAACUUUCAACAACGGAUCUCUUGGUUCUGGCAUCGAUGAAGAACGCAGCGAAAUGCGAUAAGUAAUGUGAAUUGCAGAAUUCAGUGAAUCAUCGAAUCUUUGAACGCACAUUGCGCCCCCCGGUAUUCCGAGGGGCAUGCCUGUCCGAGCGUCAUUUCACCCCCCAAGCCUGGCUUGGUGUUGGAGCCCGUCCCACCGGACGGCGCCGAAAAGCGCUGGCGGGCCCGACGCGGUUCCGAGUGCAGUAGAAUGCUUGCUCACGACCGCGGCGCGCCCGGCCGUCACCCCGUUUCUGUGGUUGACCUCGGAUCAGGUAGGGCUACCCGCUGAACUUAAGCAUAUCAAUAAGCGGAGGAAAAGAAACCAACAGGGAUUGCCCUAGUAACGGCGAGUGAAGCGGCAACAGCUCAAAUUUGAAAUCGGGUCGCCUCGCGGCCCGAGUUGUAAUUUGGAGAGGAUGCUUGUGGGCGGCCCCCGGUCGAAGUCCCUUGGAACAGGGCGUCAGAGAGGGUGAGAAUCCCGUUCGUGACCGGUCCGGCCCCCGUCGUCAAGCCCCUUCGACGAGUCGAGUUGUUUGGGAAUGCAGCUCUAAAUGGGAGGUAAAUUUCUUCUAAAGCUAAAUACCGGCCAGAGACCGAUAGCGCACAAGUAGAGUGAUCGAAAGAUGAAAAGCACUUUGGAAAGAGAGUCAAACAGCACGUGAAAUUGUUGAAAGGGAAGCGCUUGCCACCAGACGGACGCCGGUGUUUUGGCCCGGCUUCUGCCUGGUUGACUGCACCGGUGUCGGCCAGCGUCGGUUUGGGCGGCGGGAGAAAGGCGGGGGCAUGUGGCUCCCCCGGGAGUGUUAUAGCCCCCGCGAAUACCGCCCGCCCGGACCGAGGU
rnacentral:rRNA from 1 species